rnacentral:rRNA from 2 species
UGCAGUCGAGCGGCAGCGGGAAGUAGCUUGCUACUUUGCCGGCGAGCGGCGGACGGGUGAGUAAUGUCUGGGAAACUGCCUGAUGGAGGGGGAUAACUACUGGAAACGGUAGCUAAUACCGCAUAACGUCGCAAGACCAAAGAGGGGGACCUUCGGGCCUCUUGCCAUCAGAUGUGCCCAGAUGGGAUUAGCUAGUAGGUGGGGUAACGGCUCACCUAGGCGACGAUCCCUAGCUGGUCUGAGAGGAUGACCAGCCACACUGGAACUGAGACACGGUCCAGACUCCUACGGGAGGCAGCAGUGGGGAAUAUUGCACAAUGGGCGCAAGCCUGAUGCAGCCAUGCCGCGUGUAUGAAGAAGGCCUUCGGGUUGUAAAGUACUUUCAGCGGGGAGGAAGGUGUUGAGGUUAAUAACCUCAGCAAUUGACGUUACCCGCAGAAGAAGCACCGGCUAACUCCGUGCCAGCAGCCGCGGUAAUACGGAGGGUGCAAGCGUUAAUCGGAAUUACUGGGCGUAAAGCGCACGCAGGCGGUCUGUCAAGUCGGAUGUGAAAUCCCCGGGCUCNACCUGGGAACUGCAUUCGAAACUGGCAGGCUAGAGUCUUG